rnacentral:rRNA from 1 species
AGCAGCCGCGGUAAUUCCAGCUCCAAUAGCGUAUAUUAAAGUUGUUGCAGUUAAAAAGCUCGUAGUUGAAUUUCGGGAUCAGUACGCUGGUCGUGCCUUCGGUAUGUACUGGUGUUACUGGUUCCUACCUUCUGACGAACCGUCAUGUCAUUAAUUUGGUGUGGCGGGGAAUCAGGACUGUUACUUUGAAAAAAUUAGAGUGUUUAAAGCAGGCCCGCGCUUGAAUACAUUAGCAUGGAAUAAUGAAAUAGGACGUUCGAUCCUAUUUUGUUGGUUUCUAGGAUUGACGUAAUGAUUAAUAGGGAUAGUUGGGGGCAUUAGUAUUCAAUUGUCAGAGGUGAAAUUCUUGGAUUUAUUGAAGACUAACUACUGCGAAAGCAUUUGCCAAGGAUGUUUUCAUUAAUCAAGAACGAAAGUUAGGGGAUCGAAGACGAUCAGAUACCGUCGUAG